rnacentral:rRNA from 1 species
GGAACCCCAUCAAACUUGGAUUUUGUAAGUAGUUGCGAAUGAACACAAAUUUGAUCACUUUGGCAAUCUGUACACAUUGCUGUGUAACAAUUUGUAUACGUUGGCACAGUGCUAUCAAAGCUGCAUGCAAGUGUUUUUUGAAAGGAUACAACAUGGGAUGUGAUAUUCAUGUGUGUGUGCCUGCUUUGUCCACAGCCUGUGCUGUAUGAAUCACAUUUCUUGCAACUGAAAUGCUAAUGGCAUGGUAAAGUUCAUGUGACAUGACACAAGCUUGAGAUUCAUGAUGUGCAAGUACCAUGAGGGAAAUGUGAAAAGGACUUUGGAAAGAGAAUUAAAUAAAGCCUGCAUUUGCUGACAAUGAAAGCAAGUGUGGAUGUUCAUGUAAUUGUUACUGCAUCAAUCAAUGUUCAUCUUGGUUACUGCAUGCUUUAUAUUACAGCUCAGAACAUGAAGUGUGUGUAACAGCUCUGCUUUGAUUUUUCCCACAUGGGAUCAGUUGAAACAUUGUGAGAGCACUCUUCAGUUUCCUUAUGUACCCACCAGCUUUGUCCACUCGCGUGUUGGCACACAUGUAAUGAUGAUGUGUUUAUGCAAGAUACUUCUGUGCUCAACAACAUGUUGUGUCAAUCCUCAC